UUUCCUUCUUUGAUUAAACUUGAAAAUAGCAUACCAAUGUAUGGUGGUAUUAUUUGCUAUAAGAUCAGUUUGUUGCCAACUUUUAACAGUCACCACUUGAAAGAAAAUCUAAAAUGAAAAUUUACUGACUCUAAUAUGUGGCCUGUUCUUGAAAGAAGAAUCAUCUUACUGCGAAGAGCUUCCACUUAUCCUUCUCUUAUCUUAGGGUGGGACUGUGGGAGAGGGGAAGGCAUGUGCACUCCUUUUCGUUUUUAAGGGGGCAACUCUAAUCCUUUCUAUCAUAGGAUCAGCAUGAACCAACUCGAAUAAGUGCUAUGACAAACAUAAUCAGUGAGUUUUUAUGUGUUGCCAGUCAGGACCAGAAGUUUCAACAUCACCAUUGAGGGCCUUAUGGCAUUCAGAUAUGAAGUGUUCCAGCUGAUUGGGUUGGCAUCAACGUCAAACAGAUUUACAUCUGUAGGAGCGGAUAGUGCUUGGUCAUUUAACGGGGUACACACUCCUGGUAACAAAGAGUUAAGUCAUGUUGUUGCUAUAAAAAUAAUGACACAGCAAUAUUCAGUUUACAUGUACCUGCAAGCUGAGUUGGUUCGUCAAUAUUGUCACACGUGGUAUGUGCAGGCUUCUCAGUUUGAUCGAAGGAAGCGAGGAGAUUUUUUCCGGUAAUGUUUUGAGAACACGGUCUACCUGUAUGGUUUGAUUACAUGGUUCAGACAACAUAAGAUAUCCGGAUUAGUAUUUAAAUACCUUGCCUUUUUAUAUAUCGUGUGUGGUUUUGCAGUAUACCAGCAUUUGGAGCUGCAUCCUUAACUUGUUGGCGUCCUAUCCGCAGCUUCAUUAGGUAUUCUUCUUUCUUGUCAGCAGACAUUCGAGCAUACCAACUGGUAGUACUGCCACGUGCCCGAUUUUCCUCCGUAGCUUUGUUGGUUAUAUCAUUAAACGGGGUACGAUCUCCUGUUUAUGAAUGAAAAGAACAAAAAGUACUUUAUGUCAUGGUAUAUAUUUCAGUGUGAAUGCAACACAGGCUAAGUUGGUAUGACAUGCCUUGCUGUCGAGGCUGAUUUAGAGGUGCAGCCUUUUUUUUCUGCCGGGCUAUCUGUUUAUUUUGUCGGUAUUCUUCUUUCUUCUCAGCGGACAAUCGAACAUACCUGCUUGUACUUUUUGUUUUUCCAGUAAUUUCACCCAUAUUAUUGUUUGUUAGAUCUUUAAACGGGGUACGCUCCCCGGGUGGAGAUUCAUUUGAAUUAUCUUUAUCUAUCAUCUGCUAAGAAUAUACUGUUAGCAACACAUUCAUAUUAGAGUAGUUGACAAGAUGAGUAAUAAAUGCUGAGAAUGAGUCAUUUAAAGAUGCUGGUUCUAGCAAUGUGACUGAAGGGCUAGACUGGACCAAAAUCAGGUAUGUACUUACACUGUUAGAAGGAAAACAAAAUCAUCUGCUAAGAAUGAAAAGCUAGAUGCAGGAUGAAUGGUAAGGUGAUGAUGAUCCCACGGUGGCAGGCACGAAGCUUGACGUGGUUCUAGCCCGCUGAUGAUUCCAGAACUCAACGGUGGCGACAAUGUACCUGGACGUGGGAGGCGACUGCUGCUGGUGUUUGGGAGGCGACUGCUGCUGGUAUUUGUGUGCGACGGCGGGUGAGCGCGGACAGCAGCGUUGCUGGUUGUGUGCGACGGCGGGUGAGAGCUCCAGCGGCAGUGUUCCUGGUUGCGUGCGACGACGGGAUAGGGGGCGACUGCUGCAGCGGCGACUGGUGAUUGCGUGAUUGCGUGAUUGCGUCAUUGAAAGAUGGAAAGAAGGAAAUAAUGAUUUGAUUCGCAUUUAAUAGUAUAGAUGGUCGUUUUAAUGUUUUUCCAGUCUAUUGUUGUUUAUAAGGAAACAAUGAUUCGAUUGAUAUU